rnacentral:rRNA from 1 species
AUGACCCCGCCGGGUGGUGUCUGGCAUGACCCAAUCAUGCGGUCCACCCACUACCGUCGAUAUGUGUUAUUCUUCUACUUCAACGCCGCGGCAAUCGCUUUGUCACUAAUGGUCGUCAUACUCACCCUCGUCCUCACCGCCUGCCCCAAGAAUAGCAGGUCCAAGUUCAGUACCGAUCUGCUGCUGGGGCUUUUGAUGCUGAUGGCCACGUUGGCCUUCAUGGUGGCCUAUUGUACUGGGGCUUGCCCGGACAAAUUCAGGCUUGUCGUCUUCUAUGUGAUGGUGUCCAUUAUCCUGGUCAAUGUUAUGCUUCAGUCUUUAAUUUUCAUUUGUAUUCCUGAAGAAGACUCAGAGUCAGACUACCGGAAGCUCCUGGCGCCGCUAACAAUGUUCUUGACGGCCAUCGCCUACGUGGCCGGGCUGAGCACGCCGGGUGGCUUCUGGGACAGCGCCGAGGGAGGCCACCAUCCAGGCGACGCCGUUUGGCAGGACGGCCACAUGGCUGGUGAUCCCAUACUCCUAUCGACCAACGCCGGGAGGUAUAAAGCCUUCUUCUACUGCAACACGGUUGCCUUUGCGGCCUCGUUCCUUGCCAUCUUUCUGGCCCAGAAAAGUUACCUGAACGAGCACCACGCACUGCAAGCGGCCAUGAUAUUGUACUUGCUUGGCCUCAUCGUCGCAUAUGCAAUCGGGAGCUGCCGGGACCAAAUAUUCUCCAUGUAUGCCGUGGGCAUAGCUGGUGCCGCCGUGGUCUACGUGGUCGUCCACGUUCAAUAUUUCACGCUGGGCAGCGAAGAUGAAGCGCCGGUUGUCCUCAAAAAGAUAAAAGAUGAUGCGUUGGUGGACAAGAAGGGACACCGUUUCCUCCUCUUCGCAAUCCUGGUCGCAAGCAUCACUUACCAAGCCGGCUUGACCCCACCAGGCGGCUUCCUGCUCCAGGACGACAUCCAGUCCGGGCACCGUGCGGGCGACCCAGUUCUCCUCUACAACUAUCCACGCCGCUACAAGGUCUUCUUCUACUGCAACUCGCCCAUGCUGUGGGCCGGCGUAGGCGUAGCAGACACGCCCUCGGUUGUGGACGAAGCCGGUGGCAUGGGUGACCGCGGACUCCCAGGGCUCGGCGACACGGGUGACCGCGGUGACCCAAGAGUUGGUGUAGAGGGUGACACCGUGCUACCGCUCGCCUGCGGACUCGAGGCGCUGCCGGAGUCCAGCUCGUGCUCACCGGGGCCGGUGGUAUAA